GUGAGAAAUGCAGAUGAACACCGAGGUGCAAGGCGACGACCAAUCGCUCUGGGGCUCCGUCCUGGGGGCGGGGCAAACGUGCCCACCGCGAGUUCUGAGAGACACCCCGGCGCAUGCGUUUGACUUCCACAAACUGGUCUCCGUCUUUCCGAACCUGAGAGCAGCUUUUAUUCAUGCGCAGACUUCUCUGCCAGACUAACACGCUCCACUUGACAAGAUCCGACCGCAAGAUGCAAGCUGCAGUUACAAAAACCAGGAAAAGGUUUUACUUCACAUAAAGGCUGGCCUGGUCAAAGGGUGAUGGAAGUAAAAUAACUUGGAUACCGAUUUGGUCUCUACCUUGAACUAUCUUAGAGACACUGCACAAGUCAAAUCCUGUCUCUGGAGCUGAGCUUCCAAAUCUGUGAAAUGGUUAUUUCAGUGGACUUGUGAGGCUUCAGGGAGUUGCCAGGCUUCUGUACCCUACCACCAUCCUGCUUGGAAAAGUCACACAUAGGGAGCAGGCAGAAGGGACAGAAGAAGCUGUCAGAGAGACAGGAGAACCAGCAGAUGUCAGGGCCGUGGAGGUCCACAGGAAGGUGAGUAGUCAGCAGUUUCAAAUACAUCAGUAAAAUAGACUGUCCAGCAAUCAGGAGGUGGCUGAAGAGGCUUAAAAGCACUGUUUCUAGGUGUUCCCAUCAUGGUGCAGUGGAAACGAAUCUGACUAGGA